GUCGAGAAUAAUUCACAAUGGGGGAAACCCUGAUGGUGCAACGCCGCGUGGAGGAUGAAGGUCUUCGGAUUGUAAACUCCUGUCAUCCGGGAGCAAGACCUGGGCGUGAAUAGCGCACAAGUUUGAUAGUACCGGAAGAGGAAGGGACGGCUAACUUCGUGCCAGCAGCCGCGGUAAUACGAAGGUCCCAAGCGUUGUUCGGAAUCACUGGGCGUAAAGGGUGCGUAGGCGGCGUGGUAAGUCAGAUGUGAAAUCCCGGGGCUCAACCUCGGAACUGCAUCCGAUACUGCCAUGCUUGAGGGCUGGAGAGGUAACUGGAAUUCUCGGUGUAGCAGUGAAAUGCGUGGAUAUCGAGAGGAACACUCGUGGCGAAGGCGAGUUACUGGACAGCAUCUGACGCUGAGGCACGAAGGCCAGGGGAGCGAAAGGGAUUAGAAACCCCGGUAGUCC
rnacentral:rRNA from 1 species